rnacentral:rRNA from 1 species
AGAUUGAACGCUGGCGGCAGGCCUAACACAUGCAAGUCGAGCGGCAGCACGGGUACUUGUACCUGGUGGCGAGCGGCGGACGGGUGAGUAAUGCCUAGGAAUCUGCCUGGUAGUGGGGGAUAACGCUCGGGAAACGGACGCUAAUACCGCAUACGUCCUACGGGAGAAAGCAGGGGACCUUCGGGCCUUGCGCUAUCAGAUGAGCCUAGGUCGAUUAGCUAGUGGUGAGUAAUGGCUCACCAAGGCGACGAUCCGUAACUGGUCUGAGAGGAUGAUCAGUCACACGUGGAACUGAGACACGGUCCAGACUCCUAGGGAGCAGCAGGUGGGAAUAGUUGGACAAGUGGGACAAAGCCUGAUCCAGCCAUCGCCGCGUGUGUGAAGAAGGUCUUACGGUAGUUGUAAA